GACGAACGCUGGCGGCGCGCCUAACACAUGCAAGUCGAACGAGCGAGAGAGAGCUUGCUUUCUCGAGCGAGUGGCGAACGGGUGAGUAACGCGUGAGGAACCUGCCUCAAAGAGGGGGACAACAGUUGGAAACGACUGCUAAUACCGAAUACGCUUGGGAGACCGCAUGAUCUACCAAGGAAAGGGUGGCCUCUACCUGUAAGCUAUCGCCUGAAGAGGGGUUUGCGUCUGAUUAGGCAGUUGGUGAGGUAACGGCCCACCAAACCUACGAUCAGUAGCCGGUCUGAGAGGAUGAACGGCCACACUGGAACUGAGACACGGUCCAGACUCCUACGGGAGGCAGCAGUGGGGAAUCUUCCGCAAUGGGCGAAAGCCUGACGGAGCAACGCCGCGUGAGUGAUGACGGCCUCGGUUGUAAAGCUCUGUGAUCGGGACGAACGGUCCGUAAGCUAAUACC
rnacentral:rRNA from 1 species